rnacentral:rRNA from 1 species
UACGUAGGGCGCAAGCGUUGUCCGGAUUUAUUGGGCGUAAAGAGCGUGUAGGCGGCCAUGCAGGUCCGUUGUGAAAACUCGAGGCUCAACCUCGAGACGUCGAUGGAAACCGCAUGGCUAGAGUCCGGAAGAGGAGAGUGGAAUUCCUGGUGUAGCGGUGAAAUGCGCAGAUAUCAGGAAGAACACCCGUGGCGAAGGCGGCUCUCUGGGACGGUACUGACGCUGAGACGCGAAAGCGUGGGGAGCGAACAGG